UGAUUGAGAUGUACUUGAAAUCUGUUUUUAGAAGUACAAUGGCCGAAUUAGAUAUACAAACUUGGCCUGAAAUCCCAACUAUUGCUCACUUUUGCUCCUUAUUCAGGGAGGCUUUUGGUCUGCUUGAGUUCGAUAUGGAGCAGUUAGAAGAGAGUUUACUUCUACUAGGUUCCGAAGAGGAGGAGGAGGGGGGACUUGUCACAAAACUUAUUCUAAAACUCUUGCAUGGUUG